rnacentral:rRNA from 1 species
AUUGAACGCUGGCGGCAUGCCUAACACAUGCAAGUCGAACGGGUGGCGGACGGGUGAGUAAUGUCUGGAAAACUGCCUGAUGGAGGGGGAUAACUACUGGAAACGGUAGCUAAUACCGCAUACCAUCAGAUGUGCCCAGAUGGGAUGAGCUUGUUGGUGGGGUAACGGCUCACCAAGGCGACGAUCCCUAGCUGGUCUGAGAGGAUGACCAGCCACACUGGAACGGAGACACGGCCCAGACUCCUACGGGAGGCAGCAGUGGGGAAUAUUGAACAAUGGGCGAAAGCCUGAUGCAGCCAUGCCGCGUGUAUGAAGAAGGUCUUCGGGUUGUAAAGUACUUUCAGUGGGGAGGCGUUACCCGCAGAAGAAGCACCGGCUAACUCCGUGCCAGCAGCCGCGGUAAUUC